rnacentral:lncRNA from 1 species
CACCAAACACCCCAAGUGCCUACUGAAGAGCAAGUUUAGGAUUAAACCUCUGCAGAACAGGAAAUGGGCUUGCAUCCUAGCUACUCAAAGCUGGUCUUCCUGGCACUCAGCCUGAUCCACCUCUGUGUUCAACUCUACCGUAUGAUGGACAAGGGCGUCCUCAGCUACUGGCGAAAGCCAAGGAACUGGCUGGAGGUAGCCUCUCUUGUGUCAUUUUCUUUUGAAAAAUAACAAUAAACUGUUUAUAUCUUGAAAAAA